rnacentral:snRNA from 1 species
AUACUUACCUGGCAAGGGACAUCAUGAUCAAUAAGGUGGUUCACCUGUGGUGUGCGUUAGCCAUGGCACUCUGGCUGUGCCGUUUUCCUACUGUCCCCUGGAAAGCAAAAAGCACAAC